GCAGGUGUAGCUCAGGGGUAGAGCGCAUGUUUAGUAGUAGCAUGCUCAGGGUCCUGGGUUCAAUCUCUAGUACCUCCA
rnacentral:tRNA from 1 species